rnacentral:misc_RNA from 1 species
UGGCUUGGACAGUUCAACAACUUUCCAAAUUGUGAACUCAAUAAAGCAAUACAUUCACAUUCUUAAUGGGACUGGUGUCGUUUCCCUCCUCCAGCCAGCACCAGAGACUUAUGACCUCUUUGAUGACAUUAUUUUACUGUCAGAUGGCCAGAUUGUGUAUCAGGGUCCUCGUGAAGAUGCGCUUGGUUUUUUUGAACAUAUGGGCUUCAAGUGUCCUGAACGAAAUGGCGUGGCUGAUUUCUUGCAAGAAGUGACAUCAAGGAAAGAUCAGAAGCAGUACUGGGCACAUAAAGAUCAACCUUACAGUUUUAUCACAGUCCAGGAAUUUGCUGAGGCAUUUCAAUCAUAUGACGUGGGCCAAAAAAUUGGACAAGAGCUUUCUACCCCAUUUGAUAAAAGCAAGAGCCACCCAGCUGCUUUGGCAACCGGAAAGUAUGGUAUUGGAAAGAUGGAACUGAUUAAAGCUUGCUUCUCAAGAGAGUACUUGCUAAUGAAGAGGAACUCAUUUGUCUAU